UAAAAUCUUUGUCACUGUGAUCAUUAAUGGCCACCGCUGAACCUGAAGUUCCAGUCACUGAGCAGCAGCCGGCGGCAGCAGAGGAGCCAAAGCCGGCGGAAAAGCCUGUGAAGGAGAAGAGAUCCAAAGCUCCAAAGGAGAAAAAGCCUAAACAACCCAAAUCCACAGCACGUCCUCCUUAUUUUCAGGUACUCACUUUUUUAUUGUUUAACAUCGUUUGUGUGGGUUUUAAUUUUUUUUUUUUGGUUAGUUAAAUUAAGGGUGGAGUGUUGUGCAGAUGAUCAAGGAGGCGCUUUUGGCUUUGAAAGAGAAGAGUGGUUCAAGUCCGUACGCUAUAGCCAAAUACAUGGAAGAGAAGCACAAGGCGGUGCUUCCAGCGAAUUUCAGGAAAAUCUUAGGUCUUCAGCUUAAAACCUCAGCUGCUAGAGGCAAGCUGAUAAAGAUCAAGGCCUCUUACAAGCUCUCCGAAGCUGGCAAAAAAGAGAAAGCCCCUGUUACAAAAGCUAAGACAGAGAAGAAAGCUAAGCCAGCUUCGAAGCCGAAGAAAGCUGAGGCUACAAAGAAGCCAACAAAGAGAGUCGGGGCCAAGAAGAAAUCAACUCCAGCAAAGGCGAAGCAGCCUAAAUCUAUCAAGUCACCUGCGGCUAAAAAGGCCAAGAAGGCCGCUGCUUAGAACAAAUGUGUAG
rnacentral:lncRNA from 1 species